rnacentral:snoRNA from 1 species
AUCCCAAAUAAACUGUUCUCUGUUUAUUUGAUUCAUGGGAGGCAUAUAUUGAUACUGGGAGUUCGCUGACAGCACCUUUCUUUUUUCCAGGGGGGUGUUUCAAUAGUACCUCUUCAUACACAU